rnacentral:rRNA from 1 species
UACGUAGGUGGCGAGCGUUGUUCGGAUUUACUGGGCGUAAAGGGUCCGCAGGGGGCUUUUCAAGUCUGAUGUGAAAUCCCGAAGCUUAACUUCGGAAUUGCAUUGGAAACUGCUAAGCUAGAGCAUCGGAUAGGAGAGUGGAAUUCCAGGUGUAGCGGUGGAAUGCGUAGAUAUCUGGAAGAACACCUAAGGCGAAGGCAGCUCUCUGGACGAUUGCUGACCCUCAGGGACGAAAGUAUGGGGAGCAAACAGG